CCUACGGGGGGCUGCAGUGGGGAAUAUUGGACAAUGGGGGGAACCCUGAUCCAGCCAUGCCGCGUGUGUGAAGAAGGCCCUCGGGUUGUAAAGCACUUUCAGUGAGGAAGAACGCCUGGUGGUUAAUACCCAUCAGGUAAGACAUCACUCACAGAAGAAGCACCGGCUAACUCCGUGCCAGCAGCCGCGGUAAUACGGAGGGUGCGAGCGUUAAUCGGAAUUACUGGGCGUAAAGCGCGCGUAGGUGGCUUGAUAAGCCGGUUGUGAAAGCCCCGGGCUCAACCUGGGAACGGCAUCCGGAACUGUCAAGCUAGAGUGCAGGAGAGGAAGGUAGAAUUCCCGGUGUAGCGGUGAAAUGCGUAGAGAUCGGGAGGAAUACCAGUGGCGAAGGCGGCCUUCUGGACUGACACUGACACUGAGGUGCGAAAGCGUGGGUAGCAAACAGGAUUAGAUACCCUAGUAGUC
rnacentral:rRNA from 1 species